UGAGCUGGGGGUGGCCGCAGAGACCAGCGAGAAGCGACUGUUUACUAAAAACACAGGUCCGUGCGAAGCCGUAAGGCGAUGUAUACGGACUGACGCCUGCCCGGUGCUGGAACGUUAAGGGGACCGGUUAGCUCACCUUCGGGUGGGCGAAGCUGAGAACUUAAGCGCCAGUAAACGGCGGUGGUAACUAUAACCAUCCUAAGGUAGCGAAAUUCCUUGUCGGGUAAGUUCCGACCUGCACGAAUGGCGUAACGACUUCUCGACUGUCUCAACCAUAGGCCCGGUGAAAUUGCACUACGAGUAAAGAUGCUCGUUUCGCGCAGCAGGACGGAAAGACCCCGGGACCUUUACUACAGUUUGAUAUUGGUGUUCGGUUCGGCUUGUGUAGGAUAGCUGGGAGACUGUGAAGCUCGGACGCCAGUUCGGGUGGAGUCGUCGUUGAAAUACCAGUCUGGUCGUGCUGGAUGUCUAACCUGGGUCCGUGAUCCGGAUCAGGGACAGUGUCUGAUGGGUAGUUUAACUGGGGCGGUUGCCUCCUAAAGAGUAACGGAGGCGCCCAAAGGUUCCCUCAGCCUGGUUGGCAAUCAGGUGUUGAGUGUAAGUGCACAAGGGAGCUUGACUGUGAGACCGACGGGUCGAGCAGGGACGAAAGUCGGGACUAGUGAUCCGGCGGUGGCUUGUGGAAGCGCCGUCGCUCAACGGAUAAAAGGUACCCCGGGGAUAACAGGCUGAUCUUCCCCAAGAGUCCAUAUCGACGGGAUGGUUUGGCACCUCGAUGUCGGCUCGUCGCAUCCUGGGGCUGGAGUCGGUCCCAAGGGUUGGGCUGUUCGCCCAUUAAAGCGGUACGCGAGCUGGGUUUAGAACGUCGUGAGACAGUUCGGUCCCUAUCCGCUGUGCGCGUAGGAGUCUUGAGAAGGGCUGUCCCUAGUACGAGAGGACCGGGACGGACGAACCUCUGGUGUGCCAGUUGUUCUGCCAAGGGCAUGGCUGGUUGGCUACGUUCGGGAGGGAUAACCGCUGAAAGCAUCUAAGCGGGAAGCCUGCUUCGAGAUGAGGACUCCCACCUCCUAGAGAGGGUAAGGCUCCCAGUAGACGACUGGGUUGAUAGGCCGGAUAUGGAAGCACGGUAACGUGUGGAGUUGACCGGUACUAAUAGGCCGAGGGCUUGUCCUC
rnacentral:rRNA from 1 species